rnacentral:lncRNA from 1 species
CGCAGAGUACGCAGCAAAAGAGGAGUUGCCCAUUUUCCUCUGAAAAUUGAAUGGAACUGUUCGUGUCUUAUCUGGCAUCUGAUUAGUUCCAAGCCCUAAAUCCUUCUCACUGCAACAUACACAUGAAAUCAGUCAAUUUCCUCUGGUCACCUAUGCGAUUUAAUGCGAUCACUCUUUACAUUUCGUUGUGCGUUCCUGGUUUAUAAAAGAGAUUCUGCGACUGUGCUGUUUUUUACAUUGUAGGCCUGCUUCUAGUCAUUUAGAAUCAUCAGCAAAUUAAAACCAUUUGUGAGGAGACUUGCGUUUUAUUGCCAUCAUCCUGCAGCUUCCAGCGUAGUCAUCGAACAUCAGGAAUGUGUAGACUUAGUUGACGUAGAACAGCGACCAUUUCAUUAAUUUACACUGAGCAGGAAUCUAAGUUAAAGAAGCAAAACCUGCUCUCAUUCCAUUCAGUGAUGAGUUGUACAUACUCUGUAUAAAUUUUAUGCCAAUA